CAUUAAGAAGCUAUGAAACAGCACUAGCCUUUUAAGCUAACAAAAGAGGACCCCAUCCCCUCCUUAAUGA
rnacentral:tRNA from 1 species